UGUAUAAUGGGUCAGCGACUUAUAUUCUGUAGCAAGGUUAACCGAAUAGGGGAGCCGAAGGGAAACCGAGUCUUAACUGGGCGUUAAGUUGCAGGGUAUAGACCCGAAACCCGGUGAUCUAGCCAUGGGCAGGUUGAAGGUUGGGUAACACUAACUGGAGGACCGAACCGACUAAUGUUGAAAAAUUAGCGGAUGACUUGUGGCUGGGGGUGAAAGGCCAAUCAAACCGGGAGAUAGCUGGUUCUCCCCGAAAGCUAUUUAGGUAGCGCCUCGUGAAUUCAUCUCCGGGGGUAGAGCACUGUUUCGGCAAGGGGGUCAUCCCGACUUACCAACCCGAUGCAAACUGCGAAUACCGGAGAAUGUUAUCACGGGAGACACACGGCGGGUGCUAACGUCCGUCGUGAAGAGGGAAACAACCCAGACCGCCAGCUAAGGUCCCAAAGUCAUGGUUAAGUGGGAAACGAUGUGGGAAGGCCCAGACAGCCAGGAUGUUGGCUUAGAAGCAGCCAUCAUUUAAAGAAAGCGUAAUAGCUCACUGGUCGAGUCGGCCUGCGCGGAAGAUGUAACGGGGCUAAACCAUGCACCGAAGCUGCGGCAGCGACGCUUAUGCGUUGUUGGGUAGGGGAGCGUUCUGUAAGCCUGCGAAGGUGUGCUGUGAGGCAUGCUGGAGGUAUCAGAAGUGCGAAUGCUGACAUAAGUAACGAUAAAGCGGGUGAAAAGCCCGCUCGCCGGAAGACCAAGGGUUCCUGUCCAACGUUAAUCGGGGCAGGGUGAGUCGACCCCUAAGGCGAGGCCGAAAGGCGUAGUCGAUGGGAAACAGGUUAAUAUUCCUGUACUUGGUGUUACUGCGAAGGGGGGACGGAGAAGGCUAUGUUGGCCGGGCGACGGUUGUCCCGGUUUAAGCGUGUAGGCUGGUUUUCCAGGCAAAUCCGGAAAAUCAAGGCUGAGGCGUGAUGACGAGGCACUACGGUGCUGAAGCAACAAAUGCCCUGCUUCCAGGAAAAGCCUCUAAGCAUCAGGUAACAUCAAAUCGUACCCCAAACCGACACAGGUGGUCAGGUAGAGAAUACCAAGGCGCUUGAGAGAACUCGGGUGAAGGAACUAGGCAAAAUGGUGCCGUAACUUCGGGAG
rnacentral:rRNA from 1 species